rnacentral:rRNA from 1 species
GAUGAACGCUGGCGGCGUGCCUAAUACAUGCAAGUCGAGCGAACAGACGAGGAGCUUGCUCCUCUGACGUUAGCGGCGGACGGGUGAGUAACACGUGGAUAACCUACCUAUAAGACUGGGAUAACUUCGGGAAACCGGAGCUAAUACCGGAUAAUAUAUUGAACCGCAUGGUUCAAUAGUGAAAGACGGUUUUGCUGUCACUUCUAGAUGGAUCCGCGCCGCAUUAGCUAGUUGGUAAGGUAACGGCUUACCAAGGCAACGAUGCGUAGCCGACCUGAGAGGGUGAUCGGCCACACGGGAACGGAGACACGGUCCAGACUCCUACGGGAGGCAGCAGUAGGGAAUCUUCCGCAAUGGGCGAAAGCUUGACGGAGCAACGCCGCGUGAGUGAUGAAGGUCUUCGGAUCGUAAAACUCUGUUAUUAGGGAAGAACAAAUGUGUAAGUAACUAUGCACGUCUUGACGGUACCGAAUCAGAAAGCCACGGCUAACUACGUG